rnacentral:rRNA from 1 species
UACAGAGGGGGCCAGCGUUAUUCGGAAUUAUUGGGCGUAAAGAGCGUGUAGGCGGCCAGAUAGGUCUGCUGUGAAAACUCGAGGCUCAACCUCGAGAUGUCGGCGGAAACCAUUUGGCUAGAGUCCGGAAGAGGAAAGUGGAAUUCCUGGUGUAGCGGUGAAAUGCGCAGAUAUCAGGAAGAACACCCGUGGCGAAGGCGGCUUUCUGGGACGGUACUGACGCUGAGACGCGAAAGCGUGGGGAGCGAACAGG